AUUAAUCGUCGAUUAGUUUAGUUUAAUCUCGGAAUUUAGCGAAAGUCAUCCCAACUGCUGCACGUGAAGCUUUUAGGGACUGCUGAGCGAAGGAUCACACGCAUAGCGGAACGCGUUAUGAAAAUAGGAAGUGCCGUUGGGGGCGCCAAGGUUGCGCACUUUCCGCCCUCGCGACGGCUAAUUAAGCAAGCCGUGAUGCAAUAACAACCAGAAUGCAGCCUUGGAGCCAGUCCGCCGUAGAAAAUGAAGCCGGGAAAAUCGCUAAUAUAUCACCCUCGGCUGAAAUCUUAAGAGUGAUUCCUUUUGCAUUUCUAACGAGGACGAUGAAUGAGUUUGAUCGACGAGUUUAAUCAGAGUUUAGUGAACGUCAUCCUUAAAGUUCAAAGCGACGUUUACAAUCACGUAGGACUAUAAUUCAAACGCGAGCCGGCAAAUAUACGAACGUGGAAUUCAUGUCAGCGGGCUCGUAGAAGCUAUCGGGUGGUGAUGCGGUCGAGACAGAGAAUACGCACUCAUCCUAGUUUCGCAAAUACCACUUUGACAAGAGAUUUCAACGUUAACAGGCGACAGGCCGGUGUCUCGGAUCGAGGUUGACUCGCUAAUGCAUCUUUCUGUAACGUGACGUUCCUUUCAAACAAAACGCCGACAGCUCCGUCAUUUCUCCGUGGUGGGAAGAAAUAAGUUCGCAAAAGGGAAGAACAUUCCGGGGAUAGCGUAAUGCUUUGAAAGAAAGGAGAUUUCAAAGAAGAGAGAGAGGGAGGGAGAGGGAGAGAGAGGGAGAGAGGGAAAGAGAGAGACAGAGACAGAGAGAGAGAGAGAGAGACAAAGAGAGAAAUAAUAAAAAGUAUCAAACGACGGCAACGCGCUCGCGCUAUCUCGAGCCAGCUGAGAAUCAACACUCAAUCAAGUUUAGACAUCCGACCUACUUCCGGCGAACCUGCCGUUCCGACGAGAGCCAAAAGCGCGGCGCCGCUUGCGCCUGCACUGCCUGGAAAUUCAUCGUCGGCAGCGCGGAACCGGAGAGUUAGCGCGCAAUCUUAUCGGGCCGUCGCGAUCGAUUAAUAUUCCGCGAUUGCGACGCGUCCUCUCCAUCGUUCCGCCCGAACUACCUCGUCCUCCUCCGCCACGGAGCGUUUCUUUUGUUCUCCUCGACUACGCUCUCUCGUGGAAAAGAAAAGUUCCCGCAGCGAUUACGCGCCAGAGAGACACAGGGGAGAGGGGUGGUGCCGGAUAACGGGGUGGAUAGGGGCCGCGGGGGGCAACGAGAGAGAGAGAGAGAGAGAGAGCGAGAGAGGAGAAGAGCGACGAGAACGAUGAGGAGAGCGAGACGGUGAGAGGAUGGGAGAGGCUGUGAGACGAGGAAAUUGGUUUUGCAUUACAAAGCCGGUGGUCCGCGAUAAUGGGGCACUCCGUAGGCGCAAGUACGCGAGCGCUUAUUCGCUAUGAAUUAUCCAAUUACAUUAUUAUCCGAGACCCCGCGGUUUCGAUCGCGCGCCGCAAUGCACCGGGCGGCUCGUUGAGCACGCGGCUGUUCCGCUUUUCGCGCGGAACGAAAUUUUCGGGACGGCGCGCAACGCGACGUGACGCGACGUCGCCAUCUUCUGUCUGUCUGCCUGGCUGGCUAGCUGGCUACUGGCUGACUACUGGCUGUCUGUCUGUCUGUCUGUCUCGUCGGAUACGUUCCGCGAAAUACGUAAAGCGCAGCUUGGACAAUGGCAUUCGGAAAUAUGAACGCUGCGAGAGGUCACAUCGUCGUGUGUAUCUCACGUGCGUAAACGUAGACGCGCGUGAACGUAAAUGUGAAAAAUAAUAAACACCUCGCGGAUUUGGCAAUUUGGGAAAGACGGAUGACGGUAAUGUCGAUUGAAAAUCAAGUUUGCAGAUUGCGAGAAGAUUGCGUUUACUCACGCUAUUCUGCGCCUCUAAUUUCUUCUUUGGAAAGCUUAACCUGUCGUCAUAAAAGAGAGAGAGAGAGAAAGCGAAGAGGGAGGAAGGUCUUCGCCAUGCGCGAACGAGGCCUCCCUUUGCUCGCAUAAUCAAUUUCGUUCUCCUCGCAUGAUCGGCAAACGCAACACGCUCGUCUCUCGCUAACGCAGUCUGGGAAUCGGAUAUGUACGUCGUAUAAAAGGUGAAGCGCCUUGGGAGAGACGGUCCCCUUCCCGGGUCGGGACGUGGAGAAACGGUGCGGGGAAAGAUGGAAAGAGGAAAGAAGCCGAUCCGGACUUUUCAAUAUCGGGCCAAGACGCGUUCGCUGGACCGUGACAAGCAUCGGGGACAUAAUAAAGUCUGGAUAAACGAGCAAGCCAUCUCAUCGCGACGAUAAAGUUCGAAAGUUUCGUCUCUCUUUCGCUCGCUAGCCCGAACUAUCGUCUCGUACCCAUUUGUCUAUAGAAACUGCUGGAUACUGGGUGUUCGUUAAUUAAGCGCAUUUGUCGAGUCACGGACGGUUGUUGAGCUAUGAACGGUAUGAUGGGGAAAGGUAAUUCACGGGAACAUAAACGGUGAUAAGAUUUUGCUUCCUGAGCGAUUCUACGUAAAUCUCAAUGCAAUCUUUCCUACCAUUUAAAACAUAUCGUUCUACCGUAAAAAUUUACGAACACAGCAUUUUGGUUAGUUUUCUGCAGGGAAAGAGAGAGAGAGAGAGAGGAGAAUAUUAACAUUAUAUAUGUGUGUGUGUAUAUAUAUAUAUAUAUAUCUUUUAAUGAGAUUCCUAAUUAGUAUCGUAGCGGAACAACCAAUUUUGAGACAAAUUUGGGUAUUCUGAUUAGAAUCUAUAUUAUAUCUCUAGGAAAAUUUUGGGAAAUUUCUAUACGGAAUAAUAAUCAUGUCUAAAAAUGUAUUGAUGUAAAUAUGUAUUCAUAUUAUUUAAAGUAAUAUAUUAAUAAAUGUCGGAGGAUGUCGGGAAAAAUCAGUGCAAAAUAUAAUAAGGGAACAGGAAA